rnacentral:rRNA from 1 species
UACGUAGGGUGCAAGCGUUAAUCGGAAUUACUGGGCGUAAAGCGCACGUAGGCGGUUAGUUAAGUUGGAUGUGAAAGCCCCGGGCUCAACCUGGGAAUUGCAUUCAAAACUGGCUAACUAGAGUAUGUGAGAGGGGGGUAGAAUUCCAAGUGUAGCGGUGAAAUGCGUAGAGAUUUGGAGGAAUACCAGUGGCGAAGGCGGCCCCCUGGCACACUACUGACGCUGAGGUGCGAAAGCGUGGGGAGCAAACAGG